rnacentral:rRNA from 1 species
UACGGAGGGGACUAGCGUUGUUCGGAAUUACUGGGCGUAAAGCGCGUGUAGGCGGCUCUUCAAGUCAGGCGUGAAAGCCCCGGGCUCAACUCGGGAACUGCGCUUGAUACUGUCGAGCUAGAGUGUGGAAGGGGCGAUUGGAAUUCCGUGUGUAGCGGUGAAAUGCGUAGAUAUACGGAGGAACACCAGAGGCGAAGGCGGAUCGCUGGGCCAACACUGACGCUGAGACGCGAAAGCUAGGGUAGCAAACAGG